GGGAUUGCCCCAGUAACGGCGAGUGAAGCGGCAACAGCUCAAAUUUGAAAUCUGGCCCUCGGGUCCGAGUUGUAAUUUGUAGAGGAUGCUUUUGGCGAGGUGCCUUCCGAGUUCCCUGGAACGGGACGCCAUAGAGGGUGAGAGCCCCGUCUGGUCGGACACCGAGCCUCUGUAAAGCUCCUUCGACGAGUCGAGUAGUUUGGGAAUGCUGCUCAAAAUGGGAGGUAUAUGUCUUCUAAAGCUAAAUAUUGGCCAGAGACCGAUAGCGCACAAGUAGAGUGAUCGAAAGAUGAAAAGCACUUUGAAAAGAGGGUUAAAAAGUACGUGAAAUUGUUGAAAGGGAAGCGCCUAUGACCAGACUUGAGCCCGGUGAAUCAUCCAGCGUUCUCGCUGGUGCACUUUGCCGGGCCCAGGCCAGCAUCAGUUUGGCGCGGGGGAUAAAGGUGACGGGAAUGUGGCUCCCUCGGGAGUGUUAUAGCCCGCUACGUAAUACCCUGCGCCGGACUGAGGUACGCGCAUUGCAAGGAUGCUGGCGUAAUGGUCAUCAGCGACCCGUCUUGAAACACGGACCAAGGAGUCGUCUUCGUAUGCGAGUGUUCGGGUGUCAAACCCCUACGCGUAAUGAAAGUGAACGCAGGUGAGAGCUUCGGCGCAUCAUCGACCGAUCCUGAUGUUCUCGGAUGGAUUUGAGUAAGAGCAUACGGGGCCGGACCCGAAAGAAGGUGAACUAUGCCUGUAUAGGGUGAAGCCAGAGGAAACUCUGGUGGAGGCUCGCAGCGGUUCUGACGUGCGAAUCGAUCGUCAAAUAUGGGCAUGGGGGCGAAAGA
rnacentral:rRNA from 1 species